rnacentral:rRNA from 1 species
UGGGGAAUUUUGGACAAUGGGCGCAAGCCUGAUCCAGCCAUGCCGCGUGCGGGAAGAAGGCCUUCGGGUUGUAAACCGCUUUUGUCAGGGAAGAAAUCUUCUGAGUUAAUACCUCGGGAGGAUGACGGUACCUGAAGAAUAAGCACCGGCUAACUACGUGCCAGCAGCCGCGGUAAUACGUAGGGUGCAAGCGUUAAUCGGAAUUACUGGGCGUAAAGCGUGCGCAGGCGGUUUUGUAAGACAGAGGUGAAAUCCCCGGGCUCAACCUGGGAACUGCCUUUGUGACUGCAAGGCUUGAGUGCGGCAGAGGGGGAUGGAAUUCCGCGUGUAGCAGUGAAAUUGCGUAGAUAUGCGGAGGAACACCGAUGGCGAAGGCAAUCCCCUGGGCCUGCACUGACGCUCAUGCACGAAAGCGUGGGGAGCAAACAGGAUCAGAUACCCUGGUAGUCCACGCCCUAAACGAUGUCAACUGG